rnacentral:rRNA from 1 species
GACGAACGCUGGCGGCGUGCUUAACACAUGCAAGUCGAACGGAAAGGCGCGGCGUUUGCGGGGUGCUCGAGUGGCGAACGGGGGAGUAACACGUGAGUAACCUGCCCUUGACUUUGGGAUAACUUCAGGAAACUGGGGCUAAUACCGGAUAGGAGCUCCUGCUGCAUGGUGGGGGUUGGAAAGUUUCGGCGGUUGGGGAUGGACUCGCGGCUUAUCAGCUUGUUGGUGGGGUAGUGGCUUACCAAGGCUUGGACGGGUAGCCGGCCUGAGAGGGUGACCGGCCACAUUGGGACUGGGAUACGGCCCAGACUCCUACGGGAGGCAGCAGUGGGGAAUAUUGCACAAUGGGCGGAAGCCUGAUGCAGCAACGCCGCGUGCGGGAUGACGGCCUUCGGGUUGUAAACCGCUUUCGCCUGUGACGAAGCGUGAGUGACGGUAAUGGGUAAAGAAGCACCGGCUAACUACG